rnacentral:snRNA from 1 species
AUAAUUUGCCAGUGUAGUAUCUGUUCUUGUUAGUUUAAUAUUUGAUACGUGGGUUAUUAGCCUACACGAUAUUAACUCAAUUUUUUUUUUAGUGUAAAGACCCACUAAGGCAGCUUGCUGUUUGGGCCUUUGAGUGUCGCUUCGGCGUUGUACUAUUGCCUUGGCCUGGCACACCCCAC